ACGUAGUUGUAUUUGUGCAGAUUUUCUUCUUCUUUUUUAGCUUCAUUUUCUGCUCUGGAGUUAUGUUUCUCUUGCUCUCUCCUCUGUACAUUUUUGGGGUGUUUUUUUUUUCAACAAAUUUUUUAUUUGGAUUUCAAUUAAUCCUUGGCCUUCGUUUUAUUUCUGGGUUCUAGUGAGUAUUUCUCUGUUCUUCCUUUUGUUUCUUCAUAAUAAGUAUUUGAUGAAGUGUUAAUUUUUCUAUUUGUUUCUCCGUUCUUUUGAGUCCUUUCUUGCUGGGUUUCUUUUUGAUUGUCUCCUUUCCUCUCCAUUCUCUAAAUUGUUCUUAUUUUGGAAUUCGGGGAAAUGCCCCAAAAAAUAUCACUAUUUUCUGGCAACUUAUUGGCAUUAUCCCUUCCGGCUUAUUCCUUUUUCCUUGAUGUCCUUUAAGUGAUUAAAUUCUUUUAAAUUUCUUUAAUAUUUUAUUGGGGUAUUGUUCAUUAAUACUGAAUCUUCUUACUUUGGUAUUUGGCAGGCUACUUUUGUUUCGGCAUUCAAGGCAAAAGCGCAUGGAUCAUCAUUGUUUUUGGGUUGCUGCACACCCGAAGGUCUUAUGCUUUGAUUUUCGGAACUUGAAUUAAAAUUUUACAAUCCCUUAGAGAAACCGCCACUAUAUGAUUAAUCCGCUAAGGUAAUUAUCAAGGAUGGAGAUUAGGACGAGUUAAUCAGAAUGGUGAUUUUGUGCAAUUUAUGUUGUCUGAAUUUUUUUAUGAAUAUAUAAGAUACCUAAUAGUA
rnacentral:lncRNA from 1 species